AUUGAACGCUGGCGGCAUGCCUUACACAUGCAAGUCGAGCGGCAGCACGGGAGCAAUCCUGGUGGCGAGUGGCGAACGGGUGAGUAAAGUAUCGGAACGUGCCCAGUCGUGGGGGAUAACGUAGCGAAAGUUACGCUAAUACCGCAUACGAUCUAUGGAUGAAAGCGGGGGAUCGCAAGACCUCGCGCGAUUGGAGCGGCCGAUAUCAGAUUAGGUAGUUGGUGGGGUAAAGGCUCACCAAGCCGACGAUCUGUAGCUGGUCUGAGAGGACGACCAGCCACACUGGGACUGAGACACGGCCCAGACUCCUACGGGAGGCAGCAGUGGGGAAUUUUGGACAAUGGGCGAAAGCCUGAUCCAGCCAUGCCGCGUGCAGGAUGAAGGCCUUCGGGUUGUAAACUGCUUUUGUACGGAACGAAAAGGUUUGGGCUAAUAAGCUGAGCUCAUGACGGUACCGUAAGAAUAAACACCGGCUAACUACGUGCCAGCAGCCGCCGUGU
rnacentral:rRNA from 1 species